UGCACACCCGAACGCUCGCGAGUGCCACGUCGUGUGCAGCGGUUGGGCGUAGCGAUGGAAAAAAAAUGACCUAUUCAGGCUCUCCUCGCGACCCUCCUCUCCUUCCUAAUCUCCUGCCGCCGCCACCCGGUCCUUCCUCCUCGCCUCUGCCAUUCGAUCUCCGCCGCUCGGUCUUCUCCCCUGCAUGCGCUCCGUCCCUUCCUCCUCGUUGGCGCUCAACUGGCAGUUGAUGAGCAGCGGCGGACGAGCAGCGGCGGACGAGAUCGGCGCGUCACGAGAGCGAACACGGCAGCUAUCACGGGCAGAGCAGAGCGAAGCCGGCGUGGCGGCCGGGCGCGAUCUGGAGAACUAGUGGGCGGUGAUGCCCGAUAUGGGCCGGCGCGACCUACGCAGCGGAGCGAUCUGGACGAGAUGACUGGUGCCGGUUUCCUCACCAUGCUGCGACCAGUGCCUCGGCAGGUGAGUUGUGUUGUUGUCCUCUUCGACGACGACGGCGGGCGGCACGCCCAUCAGUGCCCGUGUGCCCCGACCGAUGUGGACUGCUUGCGUUGGGCCAUAGCAGCUGCUUGCUCAAGCCGGCGUGUGGACUGCCUGAUUGGUCAAUGAAGGCCUCAACCAUUGGAGGCACAAAAUUGUGAAGCUUAAGAUUCCCCACCCUUGUUUCAAUCUCCGAGGAUUUCUCAAUGGAGGGUUUGUUUAACACGGAUAAGCCUUUUUACCUUAUUCUUGCUUUACACACUAAUAUCAGUUAAAUGAAUUUCUGAUAUGAUUGCUUCAGUGAUAAUUUUUGCAGAAGCACAUGCUGAUGGUGCACUUGCCUUUGGAAUAAUUACUUUGCUCUACAACAGUAUGAAGGGUAAGCUAAUUCUAUUGUCACUGUGCUUCACACUUCUCUGUCAUGGUUUACAGAUUCAGAUCUAGCAAUUAUGCUAAAGGCAGAGACAGAGAAGGGGAUUAGUGGAGUGGAUUUUCAUUUUCAGUACUGGCUUUUACCAUGACCCUGUCGUUGCCUCGUACUACAGCAACAUAUAUGGUCAGUACUACAUCUAUGAGAAUGGAUAUUACGUGUUAUGGACUUCAGAUGCGGUACAGAGCUGCUGAGAGAAGGGUAGACAUAUCUACAAAGAGGGCCACAAGCCUAGUAUGAUUUGUCAGAGCGACAUCUACCCUCCCUGCCACAAAUGAUUGAUCCUUUUAACCAGAUUCAGAAUCCGAACUUUCGUUUCAUUAAAAAAGAAAACCGAGGUUGGUCAUCCAUGAUGCAUUUAUAGAUCCAUUUGAUGAUGAAUCCCAUCCCAUCUUGAAUACCCCUCCCUUCAUUUCAAAGGUACUAGACUACUAGCUAGCAUUACCUUGUUUGUGUUUGCCGAUUAAGUUUUGAGAUGAAUAGCUAUUAUUUUUAUUCUGAAUCUUUUAUAUAUGACAACUUCUGUACAUACUGAUGUCCAGAUAAAUCAGCUAUGUAGUUUUGAUAUUUCAUAUAUACCAUCAAUUUUUUCCUCAAGCAAUGAGAUUAAAAUCAGUUCUGUGUUGUGCAACAAAUAUCAUCAGAGUGAUCACUCCAAGAUUUUAAUAUUGGUAAUUAUGUAUGGUCCUAGCCAUUUUUGGUAGCAUACUGUAGCCAAGAUAUAGUAUGUACUGUCAUUUUUCUUUUUGUGGUUGAAAGAUAUGACAGUUCAGUUGUCCAACAAGAAUUUUAGAGGUUACUUCAGAACUUUGGGUCAUUAGUUUGGAGAAACAUUUUUGGCUUUCCCUCUUCUGCUGCUGUUCAUGAGGAUAUCCCUUUUUUUAAAAUUAUUGCGUUAAUUAAGAAAAGGCUAUACCAUGUUAUUUGGAAAUUUAUCUCAGCUUUUUUGUUUGCAAAUUGAUUUGUUGAACUUUUGGUGUAAGGAGAUCAACUACCUCUUGCUUGCAUUGCAUGUUAAAACGCUUUGGUGAAGAAAUAUGUAAUAUAAGAGGUAUUCUCCUCUUCAGUUUGACUUCUUGACAAAUGAAAUAAAAGUGAAUUCUUAAUGGAAAUACACCCGAUCCUUUCUAUAUGGCAAUGACAGUUCUAGGAUUAGUAGUUCUACUUAAUAUUUCUUAUUAUUUGUUGUCAAAUACACCUAAAGGCACCAUAGUAUUUAUUUUUGUUAAUAAUCAUUGACUUGAUAUUAGAGCUUUAUCGUCUCAGUUUAUAUUUUUUCAAAUGGAUUUGCUUAUCAAAUGGUUGUCUCUUGGGUAAUGUGUGCACUUAAUUCAAGCCAAGUUAUGAACUGGAAUGCAUUUGCAAGCAGAGGAGCGUGUCCGGCUGUUGUCGUACGAGAAGAAGCUAGUGUGUGCAGCUGAGGACCCAGGAUGCUAACGGUGUAGAGUCGUUCACCAUCGAGAGGACCAGGGCUUCCAUCAUGGUCCUCCGGACCAAGCUCAACAUAUCUGCCGCCUUCAUCGACAACUUGUCCUGGAGGAUCAUUGCCGUCUGCAACGACUCACCUGAAUGUACGCCUGUGAUGGCAUUUUAGUUUCUUCCCCACGUGAUGCAUCAAUACAAUAAGUUUAUCAAGAAUUGCAUGAAUGUGCUAUCCAGAUCCAAAAAGAAAAUGAAGGUGUCGUUCCCCAACCUGGCACUGCCCAGUCCAUUUUAGUCUUAUUGUUUCACUCAGCAACUUUACAGCUACUUCCAUAUUCCUCUGCUUAGUCUUAGACAAAUGCAGAUAAGAAAGUGAGCAUUCCUCUA